CCUACGGGGGGCAGCAGUGGGGAAUAUUGGACAAUGGGGGGAACCCUGAUCCAGCCAUGCCGCGUGUGUGAAGAAGGCCCUCGGGUUGUAAAGCACUUUCAGUGAGGAAGAACGCCUGGUGGUUAAUACCCAUCAGGAAAGACAUCACUCACAGAAGAAGCACCGGCUAACUCCGUGCCAGCAGCCGCGGUAAUACGGAGGGUGCGAGCGUUAAUCGGAAUUACUGGGCGUAAAGCGCGCGUAGGUGGCUUGAUAAGCCGGUUGUGAAAGCCCCGGGCUCAACCUGGGAACGGCAUCCGGAACUGUCAAGCUAGAGUGCAGGAGAGGAAGGUAGAAUUCCCGGUGUAGCGGUGAAAUGCGUAGAGAUCGGGAGGAAUACCAGUGGCGAAGGCGGCCUUCUGGACUAACACUGACACUGAGGUGCGAAAGCGUGGGUAGCAAACAGGAUUAGAUACCCUGGUAGUC
rnacentral:rRNA from 1 species